rnacentral:rRNA from 1 species
CCUACGGGUGGCAGCAGUGGGGAAUAUUGGUCAAUGGGCGCGAGCCUGAACCAGCGAAGUAGCGUGAAGGAUGACUGCCCUACGGGUUGUAAGCUUCUUUUAUAAAGGAGUAAAGUGAGGCACGUGUGCCUUUUUGUAUGUACUUUAUGACUAAGGAUCGGCUAACUCCGUGCCAGCAGCCGCGGUAAUACGGAGGAUCCGAGCGUUGUCCGGAUUGAUUGGGGUGAAAGGGAGCGUAGAUGGGUUGUUAAGUCAGUUGUGAAAGUUUGCGGCUCAACCGUAAAAUUGCAAUUGAUACUGGCAGUCUCGAGUACAGUUGAGGUAGGCGGAAUUCGUGGUGUAGCGGUGAAAUGCUUAGAUAUAACGAAGAACUCCGAUUGCGAAGGCAGCUUACUAAACUGCCACUGACACUGAUGCUCGAAAGUGUGGGUAGCAAACAGGAUUAGAUACCCCUGUAGUC